rnacentral:misc_RNA from 1 species
UGUGAUGUGUGUGUGUGUUUACCC